UACGGGGGGAGCAAGCGUUGUUCGGAUUUACUGGGCGUAAAGGGCGCGUAGGCGGCUUUAUAAGUCGGGGGUGAAAGCCUGUGGCUCAACCACAGAAUUGCCUUCGAUACUGUAGAGCUUGAGACCGGAAGAGGUAAGUGGAACUGCGAGUGUAGAGGUGAAAUUCGUAGAUAUUCGCAAGAACACCAGUGGCGAAGGCGGCUUACUGGUCCGGUUCUGACGCUGAGGCGCGAAAGCGUGGGGAGCAAACAGG
rnacentral:rRNA from 1 species